rnacentral:rRNA from 1 species
UACAGAGGUCCCAAGCGUUGUUCGGAUUCACUGGGCGUAAAGGGUGCGUAGGUGGUGAGGUAAGUCGGAUGUGAAAGCUCCGAGCUCAACUCGGAAAUGGCAUUGGAAACUACCUUGCUGGAGGGUUUGAGGGGGGACUGGAAUACUUGGUGUAGCAGUGAAAUGCGUAGAUAUCAAGUAGAACACCAGUGGCGAAGGCGAGUCCCUGGAAAACACCUGACACUGAGGCACGAAAGUUAGGGGAGCAAAAGGG